AGAAAAUGUACAAUUCCAAGACAGAGUGAUUAAUUAUGAUUAGUGCAGACAAUGGGUGAUUUCGAAAGCCGAUCGAUUAGACAGACUCGACCCCUCACCAUGUCUGUACAUUGCACUGCUAUUCUUCACUGCCCCACGUUUCCUUCAUCAUUUUUAUGGACCCUCGCCUCGCUAUGUGCUGACAUUUAUUCUCCACUCUCUAUAAUUAAGGUUCAACGAUCUUAUUGCAGCUGGCUAGGGUUCAACCGUUCAUUCUUCAGCAGACUACGUAACUCAAUCCGGGGAUUGUAAUAAUUAAUAUCUAAUUGGUUAGGAGAUAAUUAAAAGAAACUUGACUUGCAAACUCAAGAAUAGGAGAAACUGG
rnacentral:misc_RNA from 1 species